rnacentral:pre_miRNA from 1 species
CUUGGGGGGCGGGGGUCCCAUAGCCUGGAUUGCAAGAGGGCGCAGGCCAGACCAAGGGACCCCACUGGUGCAGG